rnacentral:tRNA from 1 species
ACACUGAUGGUGAAACGGUAUCAUGCUUGCCUUCCACUGUUGUGAGCAAGCGGCGUGGGUUCGACUCCCGCUCAGUGUA